rnacentral:lncRNA from 1 species
AUAUUCUAAAUUAGUCUUCAUCGUAUUUAAACCAGCAAUAUUUUGAAAACGUUCCUCUUUCUCCCAACAUUGGCGCUUUAGUUCAGUAAGUUGCUCUUCUCCUUGAUUUAUCUGUUCCUUUGUUCUUUAUUUUGUUUCCAUAAUAUAUGAAAUGAAAUAUAUGAAUACUCUUCCUUAAUCUGUUCAAGCUGGGUUGCUUUCAUGAAGAAUUUGUAUUUGUCUCCCUCAUUUUUGGACUGUAGAAACUGCUUACCCAUCUCUUGUGUUAAAACAGAAACUGGUUUGUCCACCUGGAUGUUAAAAUGAUCAAGAAUUGCCAUCAGCUCUUCUUUCCUAGUAGAAAACACGGUGCCUUUUUCACUUUUUAGUUUGUAAGAUCGACUUCCAUUCACACUAAUGUGUUGUUGCACAACAAUAGAGUCGCCAUACACAUUUGCCCUGAAGGCAUUGUCUCCUCUGUUCCAUAACGUUAUUGAGAUGUCUGCUGAGUUCUGUCCAGCUUUCACAAAACCUUUUAAGGAGGAUCCUCUAUUAGUAGCAACUGCUUUUCCACCAAGGCCAACUAUGAGAGCAGUGAGUACAGCACUCUUUCCACUUCCAUUGUUGCCAACAACGAAGUUGACAUUAGAACCAGACUUAAAAGGUAAAAGAUUUGAGUGGCACAUGAAGUUUCUUAGCUGAAUACUCUCGAUGAUUCCAACUUCUGCUGCAGUCAAAGUAGAGGUACCGUUAGUGAAAUUGUACAUUCAUCUUCAUCUCCAUCUUUAUCAAAAUCUUCCAGUUCUUGUCUUAGCCUUUUAGCUUUUUCAGGAGAUCAGAAAUUUUCUUCCUUUCUUUUGUCCAUCAGAU